AUUGAACGCUGGCGGCAUGCCUUACACAUGCAAGUCGAACGGCAGCAUGAUCUAGCUUGCUAGAUUGAUGGCGAGUGGCGAACGGGUGAGUAAUACAUCGGAACGUGCCCUGUAGUGGGGGAUAACUAGUCGAAAGAUUAGCUAAUACCGCAUACGACCUGAGGGUGAAAGUGGGGGACCGCAAGGCCUCAUGCUAUAGGAGCGGCCGAUGUCUGAUUAGCUAGUUGGUGAGGUAAAGGCUCACCAAGGCGACGAUCAGUAGCUGGUCUGAGAGGACGAUCAGCCACACUGGGACUGAGACACGGCCCAGACUCCUACGGGAGGCAGCAGUGGGGAAUUUUGGACAAUGGGCGAAAGCCUGAUCCAGCAAUGCCGCGUGUGUGAAGAAGGCCUUCGGGUUGUAAAGCACUUUUGUCCGGAAAGAAAUGGCUCUGGUUAAUACCUGGGGUCGAUGACGGUACCGGAAGAAUAAGGACCGGCUAACUACGCG
rnacentral:rRNA from 1 species